CUAAGAUUAGGGCUAGGGCUAAUGUCAGGUCUAGGUUCAAAGUAAGUGGUAAUUUUAUGGUUAGGUUAUGGCUAGGUCUAGUGUAAGGGUUAGGUUUUGUGAAAGGGUCAAGUUAAAGCAAGGUGUUUUAUUAGGGUAAGUGUCUGUGUAUGGUUUGCUUUAGGUUAAGGUUUAGGGUUAAGGCUUGUGUUAGCAUUAGGGUUCGGUUUAGGAUUCAGGUAAUGGAUAGGGUUAGGUUUAGGAUUCAGGUUAGGUUUAGAGUAAUCUACACGUUUAUUAUUAGUGAUAGGGUUAGCGUUAGGCCUAGGGUUAGCAUUUGGUUUAGGCUUAUCUUUAGGGUAAUGGAUAGGGUUAGAGCUAAGGUUAGGGCUAAAGUUAAGGUUAAGAUUAUGGCUAGGGUUAGGGUUCGGCCUAGGGUUAGUGUCAGGGUUAGACUUAGGGUAAGUAUUAGGGUUUGAGCUGGGUUAGGUCUAGGGCAAAGGUUAGGGUUAGAGUCAGGGCUAGGGUUAGGGUUAGUGUUAUGAUUAGGGAAAGGGUUAGAGUUUGAGCUAGGUUUAGGACUAGGUCGAGGGUUAGGGUUAGGGUUAGGUCUAGGGUUACGGUUGGGGUUACAAUUAGGGCUAGGUUUAGGAAUAGGAUAAGGGCUAGGUUUGUUGAUGUUUAUGGCUAGUGUUAGGGCUAUGGGUAAUGUAAGAGCUCAGUUAUGGUUAUGGCUAGUUUUAGGGUUAGGGUUAUGGAUAUGUCUAGUGUUAGGGUUAGGUUUUGAGUUAGGAUAAGUUUUAGAGCUAGGGUGUGUUACGAUAAGCAUCAGUGUUUGGUUUAGUGUUAGGCCAGAGUUAGGAAUAGUGUUGGGACUAGGGAUAGGGUUAGUCUUUGUGUUAGGUUAAGGGUUAUUGUUAGGGCCAGAUUAAGGUUUUUGUUUAGGGCUAGGGCUACAUUUAUGACUCUAUAUAGGAUUAAGUUUGGUCUAGUGCUAGUGUUACUGUUAGGUUUAGGUAUAGGUUUACUGGUAGGGGAAGAAUUAGGGUCCGGUUUAAGGUUAGUGACAGGUUUAGAUCUAGGGUUAAUGUUAGGGUCAGAAUAAGGGUCAGUUUUGGGUGCAAGCUAAAGCUAGAAUGAGGCUGAGGGUUAGAACUAGUAAAAGAGUUAGGGUUUGGGAUAGGCUAAGGAUUAAUGUUAGUACUAGGGUAGCAUUACGGGGAGGGAUUGGCUUAGGGUAAUGGAUAGGAAUAGAGGCAGGGUUAGGAUUAGGGAUAGGGUUAGGGUUAAAGUUAGGGUUACUGUUAGGAUUUGGUUUAGGUUUAGGCUUGCAGUUUGAGUUAGUGAUAAGGUUAGAGUUACGAUUAGGGAUAGCGUUAGUGUUUGGGUUAGGGUUAUAGUUAGGUUUAGGAUUAGUGUUAGGAUUAGGGUUAUGGUUAGUGUUAGGUUUAUGGUUAGAAUAAGAUGAGUGGAAUGUAGGCUGGAAGAUGGCGGCGAGGGGAGUGCAUUGCCCCCAUGUGCCGCGUCACUGUGUG
rnacentral:lncRNA from 1 species